UACGUAGGGUGCGAGCGUUAAUCGGAAUUACUGGGCGUAAAGCGUGCGCAGGCGGUUAUAUAAGACAGAUGUGAAAUCCCCGGGCUCAACCUGGGAACUGCGUUUGUGACUGUAUGACUAGAGUACGGCAGAGGGAGGUGGAAUUCCGCGUGUAGCAGUGAAAUGCGUAGAUAUGCGGAGGAACACCGAUGGCGAAGGCAGCCUCCUGGGCCAGUACUGACGCUCAUGCACGAAAGCGUGGGGAGCAAACAGGAUUAGAACCUACCG
rnacentral:rRNA from 1 species